CACGGACCUUAGGGCUGGAGGUUUUUCUUCUCCUAAUUUCUUAGUCGUAGUGCCUGGCCUCUGAAUAGUUUUGCAUCUGGUUCCGAUGCUGGGAACUGUUGCGUCUACGAGGGAAAAAAUAAAUUCAGCGUCCAUUUUGAAAUGGCUCCCCAGAACCCACAAAAUGAGAAAGUACUCAAAGCUAUUCCACGUUUAGGAAUGUAGCCCAUGGACACUUGCACAUGCGCACAAGAAAGCUAAAGCCGCAUCCGCUUUGGGGAGAGAGAGAGACAGAGCAUGAACGGGAGAGGGGCAGAGAGAGAGGGAGACACAGAAUCGG